UAGAUAUCGGGAAGAACACCAAUGGCGAAGGCAGGUCUCUGGGCCGUCACUGACGCUGAGGAGCGAAAGCGUGGGGAGCGAACAGGAUUAGAUACCCUGGUAGUCCACGCCGUAAACGGUGGAUGCUGGAUGUGGGGCCCUUUCCACGGGUCCCGUGUCGGAGCCAACGCGUUAAGCAUCCCGCCUGGGGAGUACGGCCGCAAGGCUAAAACUCAAAGAAAUUGACGGGGGCCCGCACAAGCGGCGGAGCAUGCGGAUUAAUUCGAUGCAACGCGAAGAACCUUACCUGGGCUUGACAUGUGCCGGAUCGCCGUGGAGACACGGUUUCCCUUCGGGGCCGGUUCACAGGUGGUGCAUGGUCGUCGUCAGCUCGUGUCGUGAGAUGUUGGGUUAAGUCCCGCAACGAGCGCAACCCUCGCCGCAUGUUGCCAGCGGGUGAUGCCGGGAACUCAUGUGGGACCGCCGGGGUCAACUCGGAGGAAGGUGGGGAUGACGUCAGAUCAUCAUGCCCCUUACGUCCAGGGCUUCACGCAUGCUACAAUGGCCGGUACAACGCGGUGCGACACGGUGACGUGGGGCGGAUCGCUGAAAACCGGUCUCAGUUCGGAUCGCAGUCUGCAACUCGACUGCGUGAAGGCGGAGUCGCUAGUAAUCGCGGAUCAGCAACGCCGCGGUGAAUGCGUUCCCGGGCCUUGUACACACCGCCCGUCAAGUCAUGAAAGUGGGUAGCACCCGAAGCCAAUGGCCCGACCCUUGUGGGGGGAGCCGUCUA
rnacentral:rRNA from 1 species